CCUACGGGUGGCAGCAGUGAGGGAUAUUGCUCAAUGGGGGGAACCCUGAUGCAGCGACGUAGCGUGAGCGAUGCAGUAUUUCGGUAUGUAAAGCUCUUUCAGCAGGGAAGAAAAUGACGGUACCUGACUACGAAGCCACGGCUCACUACGUGCCAGCAGCCGCGGUAAUACGUAGGGGGCAAGCGUUAUACGGAUUUACUGGGGGUAAAGGGAGCGUAGACGGCAGUGCAAGUCUGCAGUGAAAGGCAAGGGCUCAACCUUUGGACUGCUGUGGAAACUGGGCUGCUGGAGUGUCGGAGAGGCAAGUGGAAGUCGUAGUGUAGCGGUGAAAUGCGUAGAUAUUAGGAGGAACUCCAGUGGCGAAGGCGGCUUACUGGACGAUGACUGACGUUGAGGCUCGAAAGCGUGGGGAGCGAACAGGAUUAGAUACCCGUGUAGUC
rnacentral:rRNA from 1 species